GCUCUCGUAGCACAGUGGUAGUGCGCGUCACUCGUAGAGCCACCGCUCCGUUUAGACAUGACGAGGUCUUGUGUUCGAUCCACAACGAGAGCA